CUAUUCCCUGUGUUUUUGUUUUUUAUAUUUCUGUUGUAAAUUAUUGUCUUUUAUUGAGAUAGUAAUGUGUUUUUAUUACAUGUACAGCACUUUGGCUCAACCUGACUAUUCCCUGUGUUUUUGUUUUUUAUAUUUCUGUUGUAAAUUAUUGUCUUUUAUUGUGAUAGUAAUGUGUUUUUAUUACAAGUACAGCACUUUGGCUCGACCAAAGUCUUGAACCAGCAAGACCAGCCUGGCCAGCUUGUCCAGCCUGGUAAACCAACUAAACCAGCCUAACACCAGCUAAAACCAGCCAAGCAACCCGGGAAACUGGCUAUGGACGUUUGUUCACUUUCUUCUAGCUCUUAUUAUUAUUUAUAACAUCUGUUUUUGUGUUUAAUCCAUAGAGCUGAGUAUGAGCAUUUCCCCUCCUGGAUUGAGCCAGGAGGAUCUAUUACUCUGUCAAAGCUCCUCUCCCUCUGGGGGAACCUUGUCUGCUUUCAGUGUAGGGACUGCAUGGUGUGACACUUUAAAAGGGUGAGUAAACUAACUCACUGUAAUAAUUUUGUAGAAGUUGUGCUUUGAGUAGUGCGUGCUUUUGUUCUCUUUUUGUCCCUCACAGUUAGCAGGCAUUGUGACCUAGUGGACCAGACCUGCCCAUCUGAGGAGGGAAAACCCACCAUGUAAUAGUGUAAAGGAAGCCCCACAAUCUGCAAAACAACUUUGGAUUUAGAUUGAGGGUCCACAGGUUCCUCCAUCCCCUCAGCAGGAGUUGGUGUUGUCAGCUAUUUAAAGGGGACCCCAGCCACAGUACCGCAUCAGAGACAGGGUGUGUUCACUGUUGGCCUAAUAUAUUAUUGGUCAACUGAACUUGGCUAACGCUAAACACAACCACACCUUAACAUAAGCAAAAACAGUCUACCUGCUCACCUGGUGAUGGCCCACUAUAUGGGUAAUAGUCAAAUGACUGCCACAAGGCCUUUCUAUGACACUGAAUAGGAACAGACCACAGCUCUGAUUUAGGAGAUCUUGCUGACCAACUAUUGCUGAGUUGAUUUAACAGAAAGCCUCUUUAAAAUGAGAUUAUGUUUCUCAGAAGAAAGAGAAAUUGUGCCUCAUGUUUAAAAAAAAAUCUAAAGUCUGCAAGCCAGACUGACUCUUUUCACUUUUUUAAGGUUACACCAGCAAACCCUUGUACCCAGAUGCUAAAUUACCACUUAGCUACAUUUUAAACAUUAAAUACUUUUCUAUAACUUAGAGGCUGCACUGUCUGCUGUUCAGCAAAAGUUAAGGAGACUGGCUUUAAAGGUGAAAUGUGCUGUCAAAGUGUGUGAAUAAUGCAUUGUUUCCUUGUCAAUAAAGUGAACCAUUAUGUUGCAUAUAUCACAAACACAAAAAGGACUUUCAUACACACAGUAAGUGUACAUCUGUGUCUUUAUUGGGGCCAAAGGGAUGUUAACAGAGUAACAGGUGAACAGUGACCUGGUUCAAUAAGAUGUAUGUAAUAUCUCAGUUGAUAAACACAAGUUAUGCCAGAUGCACAAACUGAGGGAUAAGAAUAAUAAUGGAAAUCAUUCCAUGUGUGAUCAAAACCGUAGUUGGUGUGGACAGUCUUCUUUUCCAUCAUUGUUGGGCUCUCCUGAACUCUAAGAGACAAAGAUAAUGAACCCUAAAUUGCUCCUGAUUGCAUGGCGAUCAGUGUGAGUGUGAAUCUUGUUCUCCAUUAGCAGGUGCAUGCACUAUAUGAAUGUGUGUAUCCUGCUGUUCAGCUUGACUUAUGUCAAAGACAUUUGAGGGGUCACGAGAGUGGAA